GACGAACGCUGGCGGCGUGCUUAACACAUGCAAGUCGAACGGUAAGGCCCUUCGGGGUACACGAGUGGCGAACGGGUGAGUAACACGUGGGUGAUCUGCCCUGCACUUCGGGAUAAGCCUGGGAAACUGGGUCUAAUACCGGAUAGGACCACUGCCUGCAUGGGUGGUGGUGGAAAGCUUUUGCGGUGUGGGAUGGGCCCGCGGCCUAUCAGCUUGUUGGUGGGGUGAGGGCCUACCAAGGCGACGACGGGUAGCCGGCCUGAGAGGGUGACCGGCCACACUGGGACUGAGAUCCGGCCCAGACUCCUACGGGAGGCAGCAGUGGGGAAUAUUGCACAAUGGGCGCAAGCCCGAUGCAGCGACGCCGCGUGAGGGAUGACGGCCUUCGGGUUGUAAACCUCUUUCAGCACCGACGAAGCGCAAGUGACGGUAGGUGCAGAAGAAGGACCGGCCAACUACGUGCCAGCCGCCGCGGUAA
rnacentral:rRNA from 1 species